AUCGUCAUUUCUAUCGUUAACAGUCUUCUAUAAUUAAUGUCUCAACUCCAUAGGAUUUUUCUUUCUUCUAUUACCUGGAAAAAAAAUAGGUAGGCAGGGGUGAGCGCCAAACUUAAUGAGUAGGGUUAGAUAACCCUCUUACCCCACACAAUCACACAGAUGCUAAAAGUAUUUUUUUUAACUGGUCACCGAUUAAUUUUAUGAUCAUGCAGUUUGUCACACAAAUGGCAAUACAACAGCAAUCACAAUUAUUAUCACCUUCAUAUAAUCACAUCACGUGGAAAUUAGUCAGUGGAGCCACCUAAACCCGAUGAGCCGUCCUCCCACAUGGCUCAUCCACUCACAUGUGCACCAGGGAGCCAAUCCCUAUUCUGGCUGACCGGUAUAAGCCUCACAUUGCCGGUCCUCUGAUUAUUUCUUCAGUCUCUCUCUCUUUUUUUUUUAAAAAAAAAUGCCAACAGGAGGCAACCCGGUGGUCUCCAUCCAAUCUAGAUCAUCAAGUGCUCACAAUAGGAGGCCACCCUGCGGGCUUCAAUCAAAUCUAGAUUAUCAGGUGCCAACAACAAGAAGUCAUUCUGUGGUUUUCGGUAACGGUAAUGGUAGGUACAUACAGGAGCGCCGAUCUCCCAUUUACCUGGCUAAUCAGGAUCCAUAUAACGGUAAAGGUCUCACAAAUCCAUGGUGACCCACUUCAUCCCAAUUCCACACAAACAAGGCACAGCAAUAUCACAUCACAAGUAAUCAAGCAAUAUUUAAUAUCAACAAAUAGUGCAUCACAAUAUGGCAAUAAUGCAUGAUAACAUUUAGCCGUGAAUGCAUGAAUGCAGGCGGAUGAUGAUGAGGCGAAUUAUCUAACACUACUCACAGUUCUUUAUUGUCCUCUAAGGGGAUUGCCUUUCUAGCCACGUGCUUCCAGCCUUUGUCCUCGCAUUUCUGAAUUUUAUAAACCUCUAAAAUAAACAAUAAAUUCUAAGUAAGAAUUUUAAAUUUGAAGAUUCUAUUUCAUAUUCGUUUACUAGUUUUAGUUACCAGUCAUUUAAUUCACUUAUUAAUUUAAACUAUAUAUAUAUUUAUAGAUAUAUAUUGGGUUUCCUUAUUUAUUUAUUCUAAUUUAUCGCCUUUAGAUAAAACGUUUAGUUAUUUGUUAAGUUAUAUUUUAUAAUAAUACGAAUAAUAUUAAUAAUCAUUUUAAUCGUACUUCCUAUUGAAAAAUUCGACAACAUUUCCUCUAUAAUCCGUACUACCCAAUUUUAUAUUUUUUCCGCAUGCCAACACACAAUCCAUCCAUCGGGCAAUUCACAUCAAACAAUCCCGUCCACCAUAACCAUCAUUUAUUAGUCAUCCAUCAUACAUACAUAGGCACUUGUGAAUCCUAUCUCUAAUUCAUUUUUAAUUUCCAUAAUAUCAUAAAUUACUUAUCUAUAUCGUAAAUUAUAAUUUUCUUCUAUUUAUACUUCUUCAAAUUCCGGCAAUUAACUUCUAUAAGUAUUAGCUAAAAUUCUUCUUUCAUGAUCAAUAUUAUACUAAUAUUCAUGCACUACAUUUAAUAAUAUCCAAUUUAAUCCAUUUAAAUACUCAAUUAAUUCAUUAAAUUCGAAAUUUAUCAAAAAAUUGCGAAUUGAGUCUGACAGUAUACCGAUUGAAAAUCGGAUUACGAUUCCAAAAUCCGUGCAAAGAGGAGGUCAUUCUGCCUCUUGAAGCUUCGCCGGAGUGUCGCGGAGCCUCGCCGGACCGCCGCCGUGCACGAUGGUCGGAAAAUCGAACUUGCUCGAAACUGAGCACUCUUUACACCAUUAGACUCGUUUUUCUGCCAGGAGUCUGAUUCUGAAGUCAGUUGAGCGAGAUCAGUCCCUAGCUAGCAGGAUCGGCCCCGACAGUUGCUUGGUGUCGCCGUUAAUGGUGGUUUCGCCAUUCAAGCUUUGUAGUCGGAAUUAGCGGAGGGAAAACACUUACAGGGUAAAGGCGACUCAAUCGAUGCCUACCCCUUGCACUGACUUCGCCGGAAUUGCUCGAUCUCGCUGGAAAACUCCAUCGUACGCUGGCGCGGCCUUCCAGUUGUGAUUUCUCUUGAUUCAGGCUCUCAUCACACAAACCAAGGCCACCGGAAGGAUUGUCUCGCCGAGCUCUUGAGGUUAGAGUCCUUGUUUGCCGGAAACGAUGGCUUUUUGGCCGGCAAACGGGAAGGAGAGGGAUGAGAGAGGAG
rnacentral:lncRNA from 1 species